CUAUGUCAUACAAUAUGCAUCUGAUACUUGUAUCUUGUUUGUAUUCCAUUGACAAAAUUGCAGAAAAUUCAUAAAUAUAAUUCACAAAUUAAACUUAAACCUUGAAAAAAAUCUCACAGUCACUAAUAAAAGCUCUUCUUCCCACUCUAGCAUUUCACAAACUUAAACUUAAACCUGCAUUUUCAAGAAGGAAUUUUCAAGCAACUAGUUUAAUUUUUUAUCCUUGUUUCCUAUACACACAACAGAUCAAACACAAAAUUGGAAAAACUACAUAAUCAAAUGGAAAUAGUAUUCUUCUAUUACAUCUCAUAUUGAUCAUUUCAUCAUAGUAAAAUCAAAACAUUUUUGAGUUCAUAUUAUCUCUGUUCAUAUAAGAUGUUUGAAAUAAAUCAAUGAGCUCAUCUGCAUUCUGAAGAGGUUGUGCCAAUGCAUGUGUUGCCAUUCUAAAUCGGUUCAUCCUUUGCACGACCUCGCCGAUUCCAUCUUUUUUCAAUAUCGUCCAAAUACCUUGAAACAGACAUAUAGUGUUGGGUUUUUGUAUAUUGACUACAUUUUGCAAAAACAUAUUUUAGCCAAGUGUUGAGACAAAUGUGCUGACCCCAAGUGUUGUGACAAAUGUUGGUACACUUUGGAACAACACCUGACUCUGUAUCUGCGCGCGCCAGCUAAGUGUUAUUAUUUUCUACUCAAUCUUUUGAAGAUCUGUUUGAAGAAUUGUUUCAAGGUUUCUUACAGAGGAAGGCGCACGUGUUUAAUGUGUUUCAUGAGGCAGCCAAACCCUAGUUUUAUUUUCCAAAGGANNNNNNNNNNNNNNNNNNNNNNNNNNNNNNNNNNNNUUGUUCUAUUGUGUUGUGUGGUUUACUCGCAAGCUUUUAAGCAAGAGUGAAUCCUAGUUUCUUAGGAGUGUGUCUCCACCUGUUGUGAUCGUGAAAUUGAAUAACAACGCUGUCUGUGUUGUUAAGGUGGGGAUUGGGACGGGGUCUCAUAUCUAGGAGUUCCUAGGUAGAAGUGUCAUUGGGUAGUGAUUAAGUGAGAAGUUGUAAACGGGUGAGUUUAGCUUCGAAGUAAUACUGCUGAUAGUGGACUUCAUUCCUGGAUUGGUAUCCCCCAAAGUAGGCUUUAGGCUGAACUGGGUUAACAACUCUUGUGUGUCAUUUACUUUACUGCUUGUAUCGUUUUAUGUUAUUUGUUCUGUUUAUAGACAAGUGUUGGCGCACUGGUAACAACAUCUGUCUACAACAGACAAGUGUUGUCACACCUUGAUCAACACCUGUCCACUGUGUGCCAGGAAUUUCAUAUAGGAUUUUAAGUUCCAAACAUUCUUCACUCAUGCUAUUAGUAAUUCCACAUAUAUAUGCAU
rnacentral:lncRNA from 1 species